rnacentral:rRNA from 1 species
AUGCACGCUAGCUACAGGCUUAACACAUGCCAGUCGAGGGGAAACGACAUCGAAAGCUUGCUUUUGAUGGGCGUCGACCGGCGCACGGGUGAGUAACGCGUAUCCAACCUGCCCAUCACUUGGGAAUAACCUUGCGAAAGUAAGACUAAUACCCAAUGAUAUCCCACGAAGGCAUCGGAAUGGGAUUAAAGAUUUAUCGGUGAUGGAUGGGGAUGCGUCUGAUUAGCUUGUUGGCGGGGUAACGGCCCACCAAGGCAACGAUCAGUAGGGGUUCUGAGAGGAAGGUCCCCCGCAUUGGAACUGAGACCCGGUCCAAACUCCUACGGGAGGGAGCAGUGAGGAAUAUUAGUCAAUGAGCGAGGACCUGAACCAGCCAAGUAGCGUGCAGGAAGACGGCCAUAUGGAUUGUAAACUGCUAUUAUAAGGGAAUAGAGUGGGUCACGUGUGACUUUUUGCAUGUACCUUAUGAAUAAGGACCGGCUAAUUCCGUG